rnacentral:rRNA from 1 species
UGUGUGUUAGUGGAAGCGUCUGGAAAGGCGCGCGAUACAGGGUGACAGCCCCGUACACAAAAAUGCACAUGCUGUGAGCUCGAUGAGUAGGGCGGGACACGUGGUAUCCUGUCUGAAUAUGGGGGGACCAUCCUCCAAGGCUAAAUACUCCUGACUGACCGAUAGUGAACCAGUACCGUGAGGGAAAGGCGAAAAGAACCCCGGCGAGGGGAGUGAAAAAGAACCUGAAACCGUGUACGUACAAGCAGUGGGAGCACAGAGCAAUCUGUGUGACUGCGUACCUUUUGUAUAAUGGGUCAGCGACUUAUAUUCUGUAGCAAGGUUAACCGAAUAGGGGAGCCGAAGGGAAACCGAGUCUUAACUGGGCGUUAAGUUGCAGGGUAUAGACCCGAAACCCGGUGAUCUAGCCAUGGGCAGGUUGAAGGUUGGGUAACACUAACUGGAGGACCGAACCGACUAAUGUUGAAAAAUUAGCGGAUGACUUGUGGCUGGGGGUGAAAGGCCAAUCAAACCGGGAGAUAGCUGGUUCUCCCCGAAAGCUAUUUAGGUAGCGCCUCGUGAAUUCAUCUCCGGGGGUAGAGCACUGUUUCGGCAAGGGGGUCAUCCCGACUUACCAACCCGAUGCAAACUGCGAAUACCGGAGAAUGUUAUCACGGGAGACACACGGCGGGUGCUAACGUCCGUCGUGAAGAGGGAAACAACCCAGACCGCCAGCUAAGGUCCCAAAGUCAUGGUUAAGUGGGAAACGAUGUGGGAAGGCCCAGACAGCCAGGAUGUUGGCUUAGAAGCAGCCAUCAUUUAAAGAAAGCGUAAUAGCUCACUGGUCGAGUCGGCCUGCGCGGAAGAUGUAACGGGGCUAAACCAUGCACCGAAGCUGCGGCAGCGACGCUUAUGCGUUGUUGGGUAGGGGAGCGUUCUGUAAGCCUGUGAAGGUGUACUGUGAGGUAUGCUGGAGGUAUCAGAAGUGCGAAUGCUGACAUAAGUAACGAUAAAGCGGGUGAAAAGCCCGCUCGCCGGAAGACCAAGGGUUCCUGUCCAACGUUAAUCGGGGCAGGGUGAGUCGACCCCUAAGGCGAGGCCGAAAGGCGUAGUCGAUGGGAAACAGGUUAAUAUUCCUGUACUUGGUGUUACUGCGAAGGGGGGACGGAGAAGGCUAUGUUGGCCGGGCGACGGUUGUCCCGGUUUAAGCGUGUAGGCUGGUUUUCCAGGCAAAUCCGGAAAAUCAAGGCUGAGGCGUGAUGACGAGGCACUACGGUGCUGAAGCAACAAAUGCCCUGCUUCCAGGAAAAGCCUCUAAGCAUCAGGUAACAUCAAAUCGUACCCCAAACCGACACAGGUGGUCAGGUAGAGAAUACCAAGGCGCUUGAGAGAACUCGGGUGAAGGAACUAGGCAAAAUGGUGCCGUAACUUCGGGAGAAGGCACGCUGAUAUGUAGGUGAAGUCCCUCGCGGAUGGAGCUGAAAUCAGUCGAAGAUACCAGCUGGCUGCAACUGUUUAUUAAAAACACAGCACUGUGCAAACACGAAAGUGGACGUAUACGGUGUGACGCCUGCCCGGUGCCGGAAGGUUAAUUGAUGGGGUCAGCGCAAGCGAAGCUCUUGAUCGAAGCCCCGGUAAACGGCGGCCGUAACUAUAACGGUCCUAAGGUAGCGAAAUUCCUUGUCGGGUAAGUUCCGACCUGCACGAAUGGCGUAAUGAUGGCCAGGCUGUCUCCACCCGAGACUCAGUGAAAUUGAACUCGCUGUGAAGAUGCAGUGUACCCGCGGCAAGACGGAAAGACCCCGUGAACCUUUACUAUAGCUUGACACUGAACAUUGAGCCUUGAUG